ensembl:ncRNA F12D9.17 ncRNA
UAAAAAAGGACCUGGGACUCUCUUUGUGCCUUGAGGCUACGAAAAAAACUAAUACCAACAGAUUGGUAGAAGGUUUUCCGAGUGGCCAUUUGGUCAGCCGGCU